rnacentral:lncRNA from 1 species
UAUAAACACAGAAGUUUCUGGCGAAUAGAUAUAAGUAGAAUUCAAGGAUAAAACUCACGAAGAGCAAGCCAUGAUUUGUUGCCUUCAUAGAAUAAGGCUCCAAAUCAUUCUUUGGGUGAAGUUAAAGAAGUUGGCAAUCAUUUACAUGAAGCAGAGAUUGGCCAUGUUUGGCUACCCAUUUUUUAUCCAAUCCAACCACAAAGUCAUGGAGUUAAGCCAAUGGUUCAACUGUGGCUUAGAAUGA